rnacentral:rRNA from 1 species
CCUACGGGUGACAGCAGUGAGGAAUAUUGGUCAAUGGGCGGAAGCCUGAACCAGCCAAGUCGCGUGAGGGAUUAAGGCCCUGCGGGUCGUAAACCUCUUUUGCCGGGGAGCAGAGGUCCGGACGUGUCCGGGCCGGGAGAGUACCCGGAGAAAAAGCAUCGGCUAACUCCGUGCCAGCAGCCGCGGUAAUACGUAGGGGGCAAGCGUUAUCCGGAUUUACUGGGUGUAAAGGGAGCGUAGACGGUGCGCCAAGUCUGGAGUGAAAUGCCGCAGCUUAACUGCGGAACUGCUUUGGAAACUGGCGAACUAGAGUGCGGGAGGGGUAAGCGGAAUUCCUAGUGUAGCGGUGAAAUGCGUAGAUAUUAGGAGGAACACCGGUGGCGAAGGCGGCUUACUGGACCGUAACUGACGUUGAGGCUCGAAAGCGUGGGGAGCAAACAGGAUUAGAUACCCCUGUAGUC